GCCCCAGUGGUGCAGUUGGUCAGCCCGCAGUACUUGCAAUGCCGUGGUUGUGUGUUCGACCCUCACCUUGAGCA